UUUUAUGGAGAGUUUGAUCCUGGCUCAGGACGAACGCUGGCGGCGUGCCUAAUACAUGCAAGUCGAGCGGAAAUUUUAUUGGUGCUUGCACCUUUAAAAUUUUAGCGGCGGACGGGUGAGUAACACGUGGGUAACCUACCUUAUAGAUUGGGAUAACUCCGGGAAACCGGGGC
rnacentral:rRNA from 1 species